GUCCACGCCCUAAACGAUGUUUACUUGCUGUUUGCCCUUUGGGGUGAGUGGCGUAGCGAAAGCGAUAAGUAAACCACCUGGGGAGUACGCCGGCAACGGUGAAACUACAAAGGAAAUUGACGGGGGUCCGGCACAAGCUGUGGAGCAUGUGGUUUAAUUCGAUGAUACGCGAGGAACCUUACCUGGGCUAGAAUGUAUUCGGAAGUGAUCUGAAAGGUGAAACGCUCUUCGGAGACGUAUACAAGGUGCUGCAUGGCUGUCGU
rnacentral:rRNA from 1 species